AACGCACAUUGCGCCCCUUGGUAUUCCAUGGGGCAUGCCUGUUCGAGCGUCAUUUGAACCCUCAAGCUUUGCUUGGUGUUGGGUGUUUGUCCUGCCAUUGCGUGUGGACUCGCCUUAAAGUAAUUGGCAGCCUAGUAAUUCGGCUUUGAGCGCAGCACAGUGCGUACUCUCGGCUGGUGCUUUGGCAUCCAAAAGACCUUUUUUUAUUCUUGACCUCGGAUCAGGUAGGGAUACCCGCUGAACUUAA
rnacentral:misc_RNA from 1 species